rnacentral:rRNA from 1 species
ACUCCUACGGGAGGCAGCAGUGGGGAAUAUUGCACAAUGGGGGAAACCCUGAUGCAGCCAUGCCGCGUGUGUGAAGAAGGCCUUGGUUGUAAAGCACUUUCAGUAGGGAGGAAGGUAGUGUAGUUAACACCUGCACUAUUUGUACGUUACCUACAGAAGAAGCACCGGCUAACUCCGUGCCAGCAGCCGCGGUAAUACGGAGGGUGCGAGCGUUAAUCGGAAUUACUGGGCGUAAAGCGCAUGCAGGCGGCCUGUUAAGUCAGAUGUGAAAGCCCGGGGCUUAACCUCGGAAUUGCAUUUGAAACUGGCAGGCUAGAGUCUUGUAGAGGGGUAGGAAUUUCAGGUGUAGCGUGAAAUGCGUAGAGAUCUGAAGGAAUACCGGUGCGAA